CUACGGGACGCACCAGUGAGGAAUUUUGCGCAAUGGGGGGAACCCUGACGCAGCAACGCCGCGUGAGUGAUGAAGGCUUUCGGGUCGUAAAGCUCUGUCAAGUGGGAAGAACCUAUGCAGUGUUAAUAUCACUGUAUACUGACGGUACCACUGAAGGAAGCACCGGCUAACUCCGUGCCAGCAGCCGCGGUAAUACGGGGGGUGCAAGCGUUAUUCGGAAUGCUUGGGCGUAAAGGGCACGUAGGCGGCUUGGUAAGUCAGAUGUGAAAGCCCGGGGCUUAACCCCGGAAGUGCAUUUGAUACUGUCAGGCUUGAGUAUGGGAGAGGGAAGUGGAAUUCCUGGUGUAGAGGUGAAAUUCGUAGAUAUCAGGAGGAACACCGGUGGCGAAGGCGACUUCCUGGACCAAUACUGACGCUGAGGUGCGAAGGCGUGGGUAGCAAACAGGAUUAGAUACCCUCGUAGUC
rnacentral:rRNA from 1 species